AGUGAACGCUGGCGGCGUGCCUAAUACAUGCAAGUCGAACGAAGUGGCGCACGGGUGAGUAAUAUAUAUUUAAUCUGCCUUACACAGAGGAACAACAGUUGGAAACGACUGCUAAUACCUCAUAUUGUAGGAUGAGACUAUAUCGUAUCAGCUAGUUGGUAAGGUAAUGGCUUACCAAGGCUAUGACGCGUAACUGGUCUGAGAGGAUGAUCAGUAGAAUUGGAACGGAGACACGAUCCGAGCACCUACGAGAGUGAGCAGAAAGGAAUAUUAGGCAAUGGGGGAGACCCUGGCGCGGCAACGCCGCGUGGAGGAUGACAAUUUUCGUGGCGUAAACUCCUUUUAUCAGGAAAGCGGUACCUGAUGAAUAAGCACCGGCUAACUCCGUGCCAGCAGCCGCGGUAAUAC
rnacentral:rRNA from 1 species